UACGUAGGGGGCAAGCGUUGUCCGGAAUUAUUGGGCGUAAAGAGCGUGUAGGCGGUCCGGUAAGUCAGCUGUGAAAGUCAAGGGCUCAACCCUUGAAUGCCGGUUGAUACUGUCGGGCUAGAGUCCGGAAGAGGCGAGUGGAAUUCCCGGUGUAGCGGUGAAAUGCGUAGAUAUGCGGAGGAACACCGAUGGCGAAGGCAGUCCCCUGGGCCUGUACUGACGCUCAUGCACGAAAGCGUGGGGAGCGAACAGG
rnacentral:rRNA from 1 species